rnacentral:rRNA from 1 species
UACGUAGGGUGCGAGCGUUUAAUCGGAAUUACUGGGCGUAAAGCGUGCGCAGGCGGUUCUGAAAGUCAGCUGUGAAAGCCCCGGGCUUAACCUGGGAAUUGCGGUUGAAACUACAGGGCUAGAAUCUGGCAGAGGGGGGUGGAAUUCCACGUGUAGCAGUGAAAUACGUAGAGAUGUGGAGGAACACCGAUGGCGAAGGCAGCCCCCUGGGCUGAGAUUGACGCUCAGGCACGAAAGCGUGGGGAGCAAACAGG